UACGUAGGGCGCAAGCGUUGUCCGGAAUUAUUGGGCGUAAAGAGCUCGUAGGCGGCUUGUCACGUCGGGUGUGAAAGCCCGGGGCUUAACCCCGGGUCUGCAUUCGAUACGGGCUAGCUAGAGUGUGGUAGGGGAGAUCGGAAUUCCUGGUGUAGCGGUGAAAUGCGCAGGUAUCAGGAGGAACACCGGUGGCGAAGGCGGAUCUCUGGGCCAUUACUGACGCUGAGGAGCGAAAGCGUGGGGAGCGAACAGG
rnacentral:rRNA from 1 species